rnacentral:tmRNA from 1 species
GGGGCUGAUUCUGGAUUCGACGGGAUUUGCGAAACCCAAGGUGCAUGCCGAGGGGCGGUUGGCCUCGUAAAAAGCCGCAAAAAAAUAGUCGCAAACGACGAAACCUACGCUUUAGCAGCUUAAUAACCUGCUUAGAGCCCUCUCUCCCUAGCCUCCGCUCUUAGGACGGGGAUCAAGAGAGGUCAAACCCAAAAGAGAUCGCGCGGAUGCCCUGCCUGGGGUUGAAGCGUUAAAACGAAUCAGGCUAGUCUGGUAGUGGCGUGUCCGUCCGCAGGUGCCAGGCGAAUGUAAAGACUGACUAAGCAUGUAGUACCGAGGAUGUAGGAAUUUCGGACGCGGGUUCAACUCCCG